rnacentral:tRNA from 1 species
GGUCGAUUAGCUCAGUUGGUUAGAGCGUGGAGCUAAUAUUCAGUAUACUCCAAGGUCGCGGGUUCGACCCCCUCAUUGACCA